rnacentral:rRNA from 1 species
UAGGGAAUCUUCCGCAAUGGACGCAAGUCUGACGGAGCAACGCCGCGUGAGUGAAGAAGGAUUUCGGUUCGUAAAACUCUGUUGUUAGAGAAGAACAGCGCAUAGAGUAACUGUUAUGCGUGUGACGGUAUCUAACCAGAAAGCCACGGCUAACUACGUGCCAGCAGCCGCGGUAAUACGUAGGUGGCAAGCGUUGUCCGGAUUUAUUGGGCGUAAAGCGAGCGCAGGCGGUUAGAAAAGUCUGAAGUGAAAGGCAGUGGCUCAACCAUUGUAGGCUUUGGAAACUGUUUAACUUGAGUGCAGAAGGGGAGAGUGGAAUUCCAUGUGUAGCGGUGAAAUGCGUAGAUAUAUGGAGGAACACCGGCGGCGAAAGCGGCUCUCUGGUCUGUAACUGACGCUGAGGCUCGAAAGCGUGGGGAGCGAACAGG